ensembl:lncRNA
AUCAUUGCUGUGUCUUCCCAAAAUGAUGCUGCAUCUUUGAACUUCUUCCUGAACAAAGCUCUUCUUGUCUUCUGCUAGGCUCUGCAUUGGCGAUUGAAGGAACAGCGCCUGACUAAUGACACUGGACAGCAAGGAAAUCCAGUUGUCCUGGAAGAGCAGGCAGUAUUGAAGGAGGUUUCAGAAGGGAAGUCAAGGGGCUGUCCUGUGGAAACAUGGCAGGAGUAUCACCCUGAAGGCGUGGAAAAGAUCUCUGCCACCUAACCAGGCUGUUGAAAUGUCAGAUGGUAAAAACAACCAAGAGUUCCAGAUGGGGCAGUCAGAAGAGAAACAUGCCGAAGAUGGUAAUGGGAAAGUUCUGGAUUCUCUCAGCUGGGAGUCCCAUGUCCUCACCUGUGACUUCCCAAACCAAUCACUGUGCAAGCCUUACGCAAAGCAGUAUGCCUUGAGGAAGUUCUUCAUAACCAGGAAAACCGACCCAUUAGCCCAGCACGCGGAGCUCCCCCUCACUGCAGCGGCCAGACAGCUUUUUGGAGGCCUGGCAGACGCAACCUGGGCCAGCACCCUCACUUCAGCACGUGUGGCCAUCAUCCACUGCUUGGUGCAGCAUGUCACGUCUGUGUCUGCAGCGCGUUGUGGACUGACAGAAAUAACGAGAAGGAGCAAGUGCACUGCUCAUGUCCUCCUACCUGCUACUCUGCAGAUGGGACUUCACCAUGCUGAGCAGCUCCUGAGCACAGCAAAUCUUUCUCACCCACUUCAACUGUGUUAGCUGCUUCUUCAUCCCAGAGAUGCAUCUGGAGAAGUGAGUACCAGGGAGGGGAUGGCAGCAGCAAGAGGCUGAGUGCCUUGGCUAAGUGUACAGCUGCCUGGGCUCUGCCAUUGCUUUCAACUUUUUCCAAUUCUGGGAUCCAUCUAGUACAAAGCGCUAUGGAAAUCCCUGCCAUGGGCAUUUGGACACUCCAUGCAUUAAUCUAACACAUUACAGCAAUAGAAUUUCCUGUCCUCUCUCAAGGACCAGAGCUGCAGGAGUUGAGGUAAGUGGGUUUGGCGUUACUUGCUUCCACUGUAUAUCUCCUCAAUUCAAACAUUUAGGAGGGCUCUUAUGUAUGGCAGCAGUGUCUGGACAAUUGUGAACUGCUACAGUGAGGGAAACUGCAUAGCCUAAAACAGAAUGGCCAGUCCUAGGAAACUGGGCUGGGAGCACCAACUCUGGCAUUUCAGCUGCCGCAGGUGGGCCAGGUAAUCACCAGGAGGUGGCAUCCAUCCCCCAGAGAUGCCCCAGCCCUGCUGGGCAUGGUGCCAGUUCUUAUCUAGGAGCCUUGUUUCUUCUCGUGGUGUUUUUUUUUAUUAUUAUUAUUUUUUUCUUUUUUAUUUAUUACAUGCUAGGUCUCUGAAGAGGUUCUGCAGUUGGGGUAUUUGGGGCCAGCCAGGUCCUGGUCUGCAGGCUGGAGGUGGGAAGUGCCGCCACCUCGCCGUGCUGCCACCACGUUCCAGUUCUGAGUCAUUCCCUUGCUUGUUUAUUUUUGGUGUUUAUUUAUUUACCACCGAGGUGUCAGCCCAGAGCAGGCUGGCUGUGCCGAACUCCUCUGGUGGUAUCGUGGCUGCUGCCAGCUCUAUCCAAGUCUUGCUGCGGUGGGAGCAAUCUCCCAUCAAACAUGUGCUCGACUCCAGGUAACGAGUGUGGUAGCGCAGGGUAAACUUCUUUUGCCCUCCCCGUGGAGCCCUUGGCUCCCAGCUCUCUCCCUGAGCCAGCUGUGGGGGGUGGAGGGAGGUUAAGAGGCAUAUCCUUUGCUGUAAUUAUAUCCUGUUGCUAGAGAUAUUGUGCUCUGCUUAAAGAAAUCAUCAUAAUACAGUCUCCCGGAGAAGGUAAUUACUGUGCAUCUUAUGAAUGGCUGCCUGUGAAUGUCUGCUCAAGCUGCUGUCAGCAGCAAGUUUCAACACAUCUUACAUACCAGGCAUUUCACAGCCUUAGUUUUAUUUGUUUUCAUCACCCCUUGCCUUGUGCUUUAUUUUUCAUUAAUGGAUCUGUUUUUUUGUUUGUGGUGGUGGUGUUUUUUUAUUUAUUUAUUUUAAAAAAGAAGAAGAAGAAAAAAAAAAGAAAAAAAGGCCAGAGUUCAUGUCUUUGAUGGAGCGUUUGGGUGGUGGCUGCAGCUUUUAUUUGCUGCAUUUCCAUUGCUCUGUGGUGGCUUGAGGGGAACUCUCUGGAAGAUGCUGUUUCCCAGCAGUUUCCAUAUGGUAGCAUCUAACUGGGCCCUAGUUUCCUAGUCUGAGCCCAGAAAAAAUGAACCGUACUGCUGUUGACAAAAGUCGGCGUCACUCUAUCACUAGCAUAACCACACAGAUUUAAGACCAUGAGACAAUUUAUUUUUCUUCUUCCAAUUUCCCAGUUUCUCCUCUGUACUGAAAAGGAGUUGGCGACUAUCCCACCUGCUCCCAAACAGGGCUGUCAGACCUUUCAGGUUUCUGAACGGUCCUCUGAAUCAAAUCAUAUCUUAUGCCCUCAAUCUGCCUGCCACUGGCACUGAUGCUCCCCCACCUUAGUUAGGCAAUAAGUGUUGAAGUUUUCAAACCUGGUAACGUCUAUGUGAAGAUUGUGUAUGAAUGAGCCAGAUCCAUUAACUUUCUCAGAGAUGUUUGAGGUAGAGCAAUGAGGGAAUGCCAAUGGAGUGCUGGUUUGUCACAGCAGGGGAGCGAUCAAGCUACUCUUCCUUUCCCAAAAUUCCCUGAUGUUUGCCUUUCCCCAGCAGUACUUGUGCUUAUAGGGCCACAGUGUGUGAUUGUGGCACCCUGCAUGGCUGUGAAAACAUCGUGUCCAUCUCCUGGCCAGCUCAAGCAAGAUUUGAAACUGCUGCUUGGAUUGCUUCCUGGUGUACAUGGCUGGGGCUUGCUCUUGCAAUGCUGAAGCUGAAUUGUUUCAGUACCCUCAACGAUUUGUUUUGUUUGUGGCCAGGCUUCUGUGCACGCUGAGCAUCCACUACGUUGCAUUCAGAGGUGGCUCCUUCCCCGUGCUGUGCAGAGCAUCAAGUCUGUCUCUCUCGGUGAUUCCUGGUGAAGCCUGAAACGCAGCCUGGCUCCUGCAGGAUGGAAGGUGCUGUAAUAAAUGUGAGCUCAUAAUGCUGUUGUUAAAAAUAACUGGGGCUAAAUUAAAAAGAAGAAAAUCAUCUUAUUCAGCCCUCCCCCAGGGGAGAAAUG